UGUUAUAUGGUGCCCUGCCACAUCAACCAUGAGGGGUUUGAAAUAUGCAAAAGAGCCCGGGCAGAGGAUCUGAACGAUGCCAUGCUGCAUUAUCUGUGAUAAACAGACACAGAAUUGAGUCAAUUCAGAUGUGUCUAGGAGCUAGGCAUAAAACUCGUGCUGUUGCAGACGAUAAUGAUGGUUGAGGAGGAGACAUAAAUCUAAAUACACGGUAAAUUAUCUCACACUGAGGAAUGCAAUUCAUAAAACUCAGGUUGUUGCAUGUGAUAAUGAGUGACUGUGCGAGGCGCGGGCGCAGAAUUUCAAUGCACAAAGCUCACUGUAUGCAGCUGAUGAGUGAUGAGGAGACAAAUUAAACAGUUUUCAUCAGUCAUAUAAAACCAGUGUAUUGGAAAUGUCACCAUUAUUGAGUUUUCUCUCAUCUUUGACCAUUUCCGGACUAUACAUACAAUCCAUACAGGCUUUUUUUCCAGUGUAUCAGCAGAAGUUGCAUAAAGCGCUGUGUUGCAUAGGAAGCACUUCUUGGCUAAUAUCAUGCUGCUUCAAAUAAAAGGCUGGCAAUAAAACCUGUUUUUUGGCAGCCAUUUAUUGACAUGGGAUCAAAAGUCACGUGAGCUGUCUCGCUGUUAUUAAAGCCAGACAUUUUUCUAAUUUUGAGCUUAAACAGGAAACGGUAACCUGGGGAUUUAUGAGUUUUUUUCUGCACAUAUACUACCAUAGACAGACAUCAAAGAUCUGAUGUGGUUAAGUUUCCCUGCCACAGCUGCACUGAUGUGUUUGCUGUCAACACGGCUAAAAGCAGUGCAGAAAUGAGAAUGAAAACUGGCUUCCUGCACACACAGAAUAAACUUAUCAACCUCCAUCACUGUCUUCUUUAUCUAUGUCCAUUCAUCUUCCAGCAGGAAGUCAGCAACUGUUCCAUUGUGACACAGAAGGCUUUUGAAAUCACAAUUAUUAAAUAUACUCUGGAGAUAUUCAUUUUUUCUUUUUUUAAAAUCAUGAUUCACCGAACUAUUGAGAAACCUUUUAACAGUUCUUUGUAACAUGGCACACAUCGCAACUUGUUUUGUGUUGUUUUUGUUUUUUGAGCUCUCCCUUGUGGCUGACCACGCCGUAAAAGCCAUUGACAGGACGGAAAUGGACACCAAUCUUCUCUGGAUUUAGAUCCAGCAAAACAUGUUAAGAGUGCCACUGAGACGUGGGCAGAGGGCUCAAGCUGUCUGACCAUCGUAGCCACCAAAAUGUUUAAAGACACGAAAUAACAAUAAUUGUGAUGACUGUGGUAGCUUAAAAAAAUAAAAAAUGCAGCAGCCAAAUGUUAUCCAUACAAUAAGGUUUCGAUGUUUUCGGUAAGGCAAAAAUGUGCUGCUAAAACCAAUCUAACUUAUUUAAAAAUAUAUCAAUCCUCAAGAAAAUUGAAGUGUAAACUCAAUCUCAGUUUAUGUUUGAAUUUUGAUGAUGCUCUAAUCAUCUCAAGAGUGGAACUGUGAGAGCACCAUAGCACCAUGUGACAUGUGAUAAACACCAGGAAUUUUCUAGUGGAAUACUGUGCAAUCUUGGACUUCCCUACUUGGGGUUCUCUUGGCUGCAUUUGUUUUCACUGGAACACCCUUUAUCAUUUCGAUUAUGAGCUCAGUGUAUGUGCAGCACUGCCAACUCCUCUACCCACAAGAAAACAUAAAGCAUUACUCCCGCUCUAAAUUUAGAUAUCCAUCCUGGCUUGAAAUGCCAUGGAUAUUCCUUGGUUUUAGCCAUCUAGCAUGACAUUUAGCUUCAGUCAGCCUCCUGCAGAACAAACAAUGGCUUUGUGGGAGAGGGGAGAGUUUGAGCAAACACUUGGGGUUAGGUCAGCAGGUGGUGCAAAAUAAACAAGACAACAAUGGACAGCUCUGAUUCUCAGUGAAUAGCAAGCCAGAGCGAAGAGGUCUUUAAAAAUAUUCAGAAGUACUGAAUGGGUCGCUCCAUUUGUCCCACUCUGCUGGCUCCGCUCCAAAUACAGAAUGCCAUGAGAGCACCGACCAUGUGACGCUGUUGCGUGGUUGCCACAGAUUAAAGGAUCCAGUAAAGUAAAACAUGUCUGCCAGUAGACCAGAAUCACCGCCGGAAGUAUCCAUUUUUACAAGCAGGAAAUGAUGGUGGAGAAACUGAACCGCAGCCAUUCCAAAAAUCCAAAUUAUGGGCUUUUAUUCCCACCUUUUUCCCUCACUUUGGAGAAGCUGCAGACCCAAAGAAUCAUUUGUAUUACUCAUAGCGUAUCAUGCACCACCAACCGAGGAACGGAGACCAUUUAUUUUCAGUAUAAGUGGAACAAUAAUUACAGACUGUCGCGCCCCAUUGUGGCAUUCAGGAUUUGGAGUUGUCAUAGCAAACAUUAUUAUACUGUGAUAAUUCUAAUAUAGGUCAGUGAUAAAAAUAGAGCUAUGGGCUGUAUUAAUAAUACGAUUUUAGCCACAUUUGACCACAAACCACAGUGCUAAAAAUAACAAUAAAUGCACCCCUAUACUGUGUGCCAUGCCGCAGUAGGCCAGUGUGUUGCACAUAAAAGAGGAUCAUAUAGUCAUUGGUCAAGUCAGCGCUCAACAUUUGUAAUAUAUGGCCAGAACUGUCAUUAGAAAAACUUUCGUUGUGUUGCAGUGGUGUUAACUAACAUUAGCAUGCUAGCGUGGUCAGACCUGUCUCAUAAUACCAUUUUGACUGUAUUAAGUGGCCACCUGUCAAAUCUAUGCCCAUAACAAAAUAGGGGGCAGCAAAUCACCAGCGUAACUGCUAACUGCUGCUCACUACAGAUCUGCAGCUAGUUAGCUGUGUAGCUAACGGUCUGAAUUGCUCACUCUGCCCUUACUCAGAGUUCAGAGCACCAGGGGAGAGUUGGCGUCAUUUAGACCUCUAGCUCAGCAGCUUUAGACUACCUGGAAGAGGAGCGGGGAGUUCUGGCAGAAUGGGCACCAGAACAUGAGCCGGGUGAGACGGCAAGGCAUAAGUCUUCCAGUGAACACUACCUUAAUGGGACUGAACAAGCUUCCAAGCUUCAGUAGACACAAGUAUGACGACAGGGAAUACAGUACCAGGGCAAUACAUAGCAACCCCAACUAGGACACUGACUCUAGGGAUGACCAAGACAAAGCAGGGACAGGAGACUUGUUAAGUGAAGGAGGAGCGGGAGGUCACCCCCCUCUGGAGGCCUGACCUAUACUAUCAGACUGCCACUCUUGAGGUAAAAAGUGGUAGGAGAUAAGGACAGAUUUGGGUUAGCUGGUUAGCAUGCUUACUUUAGUAGAUAUCUCUGCACAUAAAACAUAGAUGUCUCCAUAACGUCAAAACUGGAAUUUCUUCACAUUCUGUUGAUAAUUUUUGUUAAUUAUUUUUGUUUUGAACAAAAACAGUCACCAUUUGCACCUUUAAA